rnacentral:lncRNA from 1 species
UCAAUCUCUAUGCUCAUGCUAUGGUAAAAAUAGAAAUGUCGCAUCUUUCUAUAAUACAGGACGUGAAACUUGGGGCAUUCGAACUACUUUUUUGACUCCUAUUUUGUAGGAGAAAACCAACUUACUGAUAAUUCUCUCUGCUGUGCAAUUGAAUGUGAAUCAAAAUAAGAUUAUUUGGCAAUUAGAACCUUCUAAUAAUUUUUCUUCAUAGUUCUUAUGUAACUUCCUUAGUAGCAAAGGUGUUAGAUGGUCUAUGGCCAAGA